GAAAGAUUCAUCGGAAGAGGAUGGGCAUGCGGCGCAUUAGCUAGACGGCGGGGUAACGGCCCACCGUGGCGACGAUGCGUAGGGGUUCUGAGAGGAAGGUCCCCCACACUGGUACUGAGACACGGACCAGACUCCUACGGGAGGCAGCAGUGAGGAAUAUUGGUCAAUGGGAGAGAUCCUGAACCAGCCAAGCCGCGUGAGGGAAGACGGCCCUAUGGGUUGUAAACCUCUUUUGUCGGAGAACAAAACCCGGGACGUGUCCCGGACUGCGUGUAUCCGAAGAAAAAGCAUCGGCUAACUCCGUGCCGGCAGCCGCGGUAAUACGGAGGAUGCGAGCGUUAUCCGGAUUUAUUGGGUUUAAAGGGUGCGUAGGCGGUCCGUUAAGUCAGCGGUAAAAUUGCGGGGCUCAACCCCGUCGAGCCGUUGAAACUGGCAGACUUGAGUUGGCGAGAAGUACGCGGAAUGCGCGGUGUAGCGGUGAAAUGCAUAGAUAUCGCGCAGAACUCCGAUUGCGAAGGCAGCGUACCGGCGCCAGACUGACGCUGAGGCACGAAAGCGUGGGGAUCGAACAGGAUUAGAUACCCUGGUAGUCCACGCAGUAGACGAUGAAUGCUGGUUGUCCGGGUCGAAUGAGAUCUGG
rnacentral:rRNA from 1 species